GACACAGACCCAGCAGCCAGGCGGCUGCAGCUGGGGGCUGGGGAGACAGCAAGAAGAACAGCAGGAGCGCAGCACUGCCAGGAGAGAUGGCUUAGAGGGUAAGUCCCUUGCCUCUGGAACCUAAGGACCCAUGUAAACCAGACGCACAAAGAUAUGACUAAAAUUUCCACCUGACAAUUAAACUAAAAUGUUAUCCAGGUCAAAAGAACACAGGAGAUGAUGGGACACCUCUAGCUUCUGGAAGCCAACUGGUCCACACAUGGCAGAAACCUGAGGCAUUCCAUGUGGGAUACUGGAGAAAAUGGACACAAUGUCCUCCUGUCAUAUAGGAAUAGAAGAAAGAA